UACGGAGGGUGCAAGCGUUGUCCGGAUUUAUUGGGUUUAAAGGGUGCGUAGGCGGCCCUGUAAGUCAGUGGUGAAAUACUGCAGCUUAACUGUAGCAUUGCCAUUGAUACUGUAGGGCUUGAGUACAGAUGAGGUAGGCGGAAUUGAUGGUGUAGCGGUGAAAUGCAUAGAUACCAUCAAGAACACCGAUUGCGAAGGCAGCUUACUAAGCUGUAACUGACGCUGAGGCACGAAAGCUAGGGGAGCAAACGGG
rnacentral:rRNA from 1 species